GAUGAACGCUAGCGAUAGGCUUAACACAUGCAAGUCGAGGGACCGGCGCACGGGUGCGUAACGCGUAUGCAACUUGCCUCACAGAGGGGGAUAACCCGUCGAAAGACGGACUAAUACCGCGUACUGUGAGCUAGGCAUGCGUCCCCUUAGCUGUUUGGUGAGGUAACGGCUCACCAAGGCAACGAUGGUGAGGGGAACGGAGAGGUUGAACCCCCACACCUGUACUGAGAACCGGACCAGACUCCGACGGGAGGCAGCAGUUAGUAAUAGUGGUCAAUGGGCGAGAGCCUGAACCAGCCAAGUCGCGUGAAGGAUGACUGUCUAUGGAUGUUAAACUUCUUUUGUAGGGGAAUAUGUACCCUACGAAUAAGCAUCGGCUAACUCCGUGCCAGCAGCCGCGGUAAUUC
rnacentral:rRNA from 1 species